UACAGAGACUGCAAGCGUUAUUCGGAUUCACUGGGCGUAAAGGGCGCGUAGGCGGUUCGUUAAGUCCUGUGUGAAAUCCCUCGGCUUAACCGGGGAACUGCGUCUGAUACUGGAUGGCUUGAGUUUGGGAGAGGGAUGCGGAAUUCCAGGUGUAGCGGUGAAAUGCGUAGAUAUCUGGAGGAACACCGGUGGCGAAGGCGGCAUCCUGGACCAACACUGACGCUGAGUGAGCGAAAGCCAGGGGAGCAAACGGG
rnacentral:rRNA from 1 species